AUCAAAAGAAUGGAAAGGUGUGAGUAAUUAUGAAGGUGUAAAGAAUGAAGAAGGUGCAUAAAAGACUGGUCCAGGCCUAGACGUUCAUGCUUCUCCUCUAUAAUAAGGUACAGAGAUUAAAUUGGAGGGUGUACGAAGUAACCCAGUCCAUUUUUACCUUGAGACCUUAAGGCUCUUCUUCACACACAACUACCACACCGUCUCCCUAAUGCAACGGCGCCGCCUCCGUUCUCGCCGGAUUCCGUUUCUGGCGACGACGCCGGCGUCACCAGUGGCGCUCCCCCUUCAUCCUUCUUCUCACGUAAACCAUCUUUGGUCAUUCUGUCGUUCACCGCCGCCGCUCAAAUCUCGCCAACUCGAACCCACGUCGUUGACGGCGGUAGUGCUUAUGACCUCGCCGGCACCGCUGUCAGCUCCCUCCCUUUCUUCCUUCUAUUUUUCCAUCUGGUGAGAGAGGUUUUGCUCUCCCUUCUUCAUUCUUCCCAAAUCUGGUUCCCGAUGGAGGACCUAGCGAAGCUCUACUGUAUCACCACCAUCCUCUACCGGUCAGAGUAGUCGUAGGUCUUGCUAUUUCGGUUGGAGGUGUCGCCGUCCGACAGAAGCUCGUCACCGUCCGGCGUCCAUUGUCUAUCAAGAGCUGAUGUGUGGUGUGAUGUAAAAUAGAGGUGAAUGGAAGAUUGUUUGUAUGGUGAUUUGAGAUAAAAGGUGAAUAAGAAUGUGAUAAUUUUUGUGUUGGGUCUGUUAUUGGAGUGCAGAGAAUAUGAAAAUGGUGACAGAGAAGAUGAAGAUUAGAAUGGUAUUGUAGGGGCUGGAUGACGUCUUCGUCUGUUGAUUUCUGUUUUCAGUCACCUUAGUCUAUGUUUUAUGUUCAUGUUACAACAAUUGUGGGUGGUUGUGACACGAGGGAAAUAAUAAUAAUUUAGUAUUUACCUAAUGCAUUAUUAUUAUUAUUAUUAUUAUUAUUAUUAUUAUUAUUAUUAUUAUUAUUAUUAUUAUUAUUAUUAUUAUUAUUAUUUUAGAGAGAAAGAGAAAUAGGUUAGGUACAGAUUGAGAAAUAGAGAAGGUCCGUUACUACAUUCUUUGAGAUUGUGAGCUAUAUUAAAUGGAUGGAUAAUGAUAUUUAACAGUAUUUUAACA